CAGGGAGAGUACGGUGGAAUGGAGCAAGGAGGAGAAGGAGGAGAGGGUUAUUAGUCGUCAUCUGUGGACCCUUUGCCUCCCUCACCUCGCUGUACCCGACUCCAGAUGUCCAACAUAUUUUUUUGUGACUUUAUGGAACCAAAAUCAGAACAGACUCUUCCAGAUGCUGCACCUCAGCCCCCACCCCCGUUACACCGCCACUCUCACCUCUUUGACCCCACCAUCAAAGUUUCUGCAGCCUGUAGCUUUCCCUCUAACUGUGUCUCAGUGUAACCCUGAUGUUGUUGCCACCCCGCUUCUGCCAAAACCAUGGAACGAAUCUCAAACACAAACACACACGUUCACACGACCAAAAGCAGACAAACCUUUUCUGGGCGUGUAUAAAACACAAACCAGCCGAUCACACAUGAAACACACGAGUGACUGUAGAGUACAUGGGUCUAAAUGCAGAAAAUCCUGUUCAAAUCAAGAAACACAAAGUGAAACUGAGGGAGUGUGCACGAGUGGGUGUGUGAGUUGCAGCCUGUGUGUCCAUGUUAGCUUGUGUGCACGUGUAGCUGCUGAUGUAUAUUUCAUUCUCCAGGGUCAAAGGCAGGGAUUUGUGCAUGAAAGACAGAAAUCACUCUGUUACUCGUGCUUUAGUGACAGUAGAAUGCAUGAGCAGACGUGUUGUUGCCUUUAGAUCAGUUGUUCUGUGUAGCUAAGUCUGGCUUUGUGUGUCUGUGUGUGCAGGUGCGCAGUGUGUGUGUUUUGCCUCAGCACUUUAUACAGUGGAAGCAACAAAACUGUAAAUUUAUCUGGCAACUUGUGUGAUGCAUGAGAUUUCGAGAGCGCUUUCAAAUCUUGGCCGCGACACCGAGUCUGGAAAAGUCGACGCAGAAAAAUCAGUACGCGAUUAACAAUCAGUAAACCUGAACUCUGAUCUCCUCGCCCUGAAUCCAACUGGCUUUGAAGAAAGACAAGAAGUAUUAGCAUUAUCUGACAUAUGGUUUUAUUAUUUCCACUGCCAAGCUGAGGUUUAAGAACAUUUGGGGGAGGGUUAGUUAAAGAUGGAUUAAUUAAUUGACCACUUAAAAAAAUUCAAAUCAUCAAUCUGCCAUCCUGUAUAGAUUUAACCAAUUAGAAAGAGAUAACGUGAAGACGCAGCAGCUGACUUUAGUUUGUUGAAGUGAAAAUUAUCUUCUAUGAACUACUUUUUGCUGUUCUUCUACAGCUGUAGUGUCGAAACAUGUUGACAAAUGGGCCCAAAUCUUCAAGUUCCAAGUAAAAUAACUUGAAUAUCUGAUAUUUGUUGAAACAUAUACCUCAUUUUUGGUGAAUUAUUUCCAUUUUUGAACUCAGCAACAACAGAAACACAAUAUUUAUGGUGAAAGGACAAAUGUAUACCAAUUUUAGUGGGAACAAAGUUCCAUUCUAGAUCCAAAACAUAAAAAAAACAUCUCAAACACUAAAAAAAGAAGCCUUUUUUUUUUUUUGGCUCUAUUGUUCUCUUUUUUGUGUGUUGUGUGGAUUGCAAUGAUUAAAGCAACACCAGUUUUAUUCCGCAAAAGCACGACAAGUUUUAUAGAAGGGCAUCAAAAGUCUACUUCUUGGUAAAAGCUAAUAAAGGUUAGUGGUGUAUUUUUUUUUAAACCAUGGAAUUGGAAUAAAAAGUAAUUAGAAAAGAAAAACUUAAAUUUGUACCAUAUGAGGUUAAAUUUAAUCCAGUUUUCUGUUUAACCCAAAAACAAUAACAAUAAUAACCUCCCUUAUAAUUAGCAAAAAAUAUGUCUAUCAGCAUCAACUUUUCAAUCCCUAAUUAUCCCACUCUGAAGGCCCGUUAUGGUCCUCAAACUUAACUUUGGCCACCCCUGAAGGCAGCGCUUCCCCUACUUUAGCAUUAAAAAGGCAAAUUAAAAAAUGAAUACUAUGCUUCCAGGGUUUGGUUGGGAUUAAGACGUUUAAAUAUUUAGAUUUCUUUAAUUCAGAUAAGGCAUUUAUUUCUCUAUCAGGGCUGGUAAAAGUUACAGAAGAGGACCUAAAAUAAAAAAAAAACUUGAUCCAAGCCAUGGGCCAAUUUCAGUCAAUGCAUUAGCUCGAGGCUGAUAUUCAACGUUUUCUAUGUCGCAGGUUCAUCGACAAGAGUUUGAUCGGUCUCAUUUGAUGGUCGCUCCUUCCAUGUCAAAAUCAGAUUCCAACCUUUUUUCUGUCUUCAAAGUUAAACAGUCUGAAGAAGUCUCCAUUAAUUCAAGUAUGUUGUGUUUUUAAGCAGUUAAGCGAUAAAAAAAACCCACUUUACAUUUAAAAUAUCAUCUCGGGGGCCAAAUAAGAUGUUAACAGGGGCCAGAUUUGGUCCGCGGGCCUCGACUUUGACACGUGCUCUAUAGGAGGAGUUUGAGGAAGAAUGAAGGUUUGGGUUUCAUCACACUUUAGCUGAUAUGUGUCUACGUUAUGUCUUAUUCCUACUGUUCUCAUCCCUCUGCUGCCUCUGCCAAUCAGAGUUCCUCUUUUGCCAUUACCGAGUGUCACGCCACCUUCCACUGCAGAUAAUCUGCCCAGCAUCAGUGUAGUGUGUGUGUGUUACUGUAGAACAGGUUCAGCCAGCUGAAUUUUUACUUUAAUUGAAACCGAUGACUGCAUGUUGCCUUACCAACAAACGUCACUCAAACGCACACAAAGAAAACACAACACCUACACUGACACAUGCACAUAGCCAAUGUCGUGCACCACGUUUUAGGUUGGCAUCAGCUCAGACUGAUUUUAUAAACGGUACCUGUGAAAAUAAAAAUGUUUUGUUGAAAUCCAGCUGCGGCGUUGAGAGUUCAUUGGUGUCCAGGUUGAUGUCACCAAAAAAAAAAAAAAAA